UAUACAUGCAAGUCGAGCGAACCGACGGGAGCUUGCUCCCUUAGGUUAGCGGCGGACGGGUGAGUAACACGUGGGUAACCUGCCUGUAAGACUGGGAUAACUCCGGGAAACCGGGGCUAAUACCGGAUGCUUGAUUGAACCGCAUGGUUCAAUCAUAAAAGGCGGCUUCGGCUGCCGUUUACAGAUGGACCCGCGGCGCAUUAGCUAGUUGGUGAGGUAACGGCUCACCAAGGCGACGAUGCGUAGCCGACCUGAGAGGGUGAUCGGCCACACUGGGACUGAGACACGGCCCAGACUCCUACGGGAGGCAGCAGUAGGGAAUCUUCCGCAAUGGACGAAAGUCUGACGGAGCAACGCCGCGUGAGUGAUGAAGGUUUUCGGAUCGUANAGCUCUGUUGUUAGGGAAGAACAAGUACCGUUCGAAUAGGGCGGUACCUUGACGGUACCUAACCAGAAAGCCACGGCUAACUACGUGCCAGCAGCCGCGGUAAUACGUAGGUGGCAAGCGUUGUCCGGAAUUA
rnacentral:rRNA from 1 species